UCAAAACAGCGGACUUCGGUCCUUGCUGCACCCUUGUCUUUUGCGCACCGUAAUUGUUUCCUCGGCGGGCUUGCCUGCCGGUUGGACAUUAUCAAAACCUUUUUGUAGUUGCAAUCAGCGUCAGAAAAAUCAAUAAUUAUUACAACUUUCGACAACGGAUCUCUUGGUUCUGGCAUCGAUGAAGAACGCAGCGAAAUGCGAAAUAGUAGUGUGAAUUGCAGAAUUCAGUGAAUCAUCGAAUCUUUGAACGCACAUUGCGCCCCUUGGUAUUCCAUGGGGCAUGCCUGUUCGAGCGUCAUUUUGUACCCUCAAGCACAGCUUGGUGUUGGGCGUUUGUCCUGCAGAGGACUCGCCUGAAAGCGAUUGGCGGCCAACGUAGUCGUGGCAGAGCGCAGCACAAUCUCGCGUCUCUCCCCUCUGCGUCGGCGUCCAUGAAGCCCUACAAUCUCAACGUUUGACCUCGGAUCAGGUAGGGAUACCCGCUGAACUUAAGCAUAUCAAUAAGCGAUCGCCAACUUGGUCAUUUAGAGGAAGUAAAAGUCGUAACAAGGUUUCCGUAGGUGAACCUGCGGAAGGAUCAUUAAUAGGUAUCGUCAAGUCUUGGUCUUUUCCAUUGACUUGACAUCCUGAUCAAUCCUCUGUGCUCUAUUCGAAGAAUGCUUUGGUAGGCCUCCUUCGACCUACCAAAAGUUUUUUAAUCCACUUAUUUUUUCUGUCUGAAAUAAUUAUAAUUAAUGAAAAUA
rnacentral:misc_RNA from 1 species